rnacentral:rRNA from 1 species
GCAGACGUCGUGGCAACCGCCCGCGUAAUCCGUAGGUGGCAAGCGUUAUCAGGAAUCACUGUGCGUAAAGGUGGCGCAGGCGGCUAUCUACGGCCGGGGUGAAAGCCCAUGUAUCGACACUGGGACGGCCUUGUAUACGUGAUGGCUUGAGGAGCGGAGAGGCAAGGGGAAUUCCACGUGUAGCGGUGAAAUGCGUAGAGAUGUGGAGGAACACCUGUGGCGAAGGCGCCUUGCUGGCCGAUUUCUGACGCUGAGGCGCGAAAGCGUGGGGAGCAAACAGGUUUAGAUACCCUAGUAGUC